UUAGAAUGCACAUAUAUUGUAUAUGUAAUCUUCAUCAUCUUAUUUUUUAUUUCAUUGUUUUCUUCCUCUUUGGUUUGAGUUCUCGUAGUCAUUUCUCGUUGCCGAAGAAGCUUUUGGCAUAUGUUGGAAAUCCCCGACGCCUCGCGGCGCUCCUGAAAAUAUCCACUCAUGGCCAAAUCAGGAUAUUAACGCGGGACGAUGUACUAUGUUGGAAGACAAAGUAUUUUAAUGCUCAAAAAAAUCCGUUACAAAACAAACAGAAUAAUAUUCAUUGCUACUCGUUCGUGUUGCGAACUCCUUUGAAUUUUGCCGUAUUUUUUUCCUGUUAUCGAUAAAGCAUUUUAAACAACACAGUCAUCUCAUCGUCUAUGCGUGGCCGUGACUGUGCCCUCAGAAACUUGAGAAGAUUGUGUGUGAACUGGAGAACAUUUAUAGCAACAUAAUAAAGAUUUGCAAUUAUCUGUAUUUUAAGUAUGUUGAGCUAGUAAACAUCAUGGCGAGACACAAUAACUUCAUUAACUACAUUGCACUUCGCAUGAACGACUACGAUAUCGAUGAUUUCUCUGAACAACUCGGUGGAAACUCGUUGAGAAAAACCAGGGCAUCGAACCUCCCGUAGAUAGAUCGGAAGAAGACUUUAAUCUUAACUGCAGGGAUGAUGGAGUGUACACAAAAUAUUUUAUAAGUUUCGUGGUACAGUUUAAAUUCCACAAAGCAUUGUAUCGAGGCGAAACAAUACGAUCCGAGAAAUUCAGAUACCAAGCUGUCAAUGUGAUAUUUACGGAAGUAAGGAUGUCGGAAAUCGGUUAAAAAUGUGUGCAGACGAGAGGAGAGCUAGUGAAUUAGAGCUAUUGAGUCUUCGGAAUAACAUACUCUCCGCUAAUAAGAAAAAAUAAGAAAUAUAUUUUGAAACAACACAAAGUGUUGCAUUUUUAUGAUGCAAUAAAUCUAAUGUACAAGAAUCAUUCCACGAUAUAAACGCUUAAAUUAAUUCGAGUAGUAAAUAAAUGUUUGUGAUGAAUUAAUUUUGU